rnacentral:lncRNA from 1 species
GAAGUAGUUGGUCACGGAGGAGAUCCUGAAGGGCAUUCUGAUGAUGAGCAUCACUAGUCGGAUUCUGCAAUGAGCCGGCAAAAGAGAUGAUGAGAGGAUCUAGCAAAUUCAGCAGGAUGUGAAAGCUUUGUGUUUUGUUCACUUCUGAAAAGUAUGUUCUUCUGAAGGUUGCUUUGGCAACAAUUGAGUCUGACAAAUUUUUCUUUAUACACUUUUUUGGUAUUUUAAGCAUGGGCUGGUCAUCCAUGGGAAUUACGGACUCUUUGACUUUUUUUUAGUGCAAGUCAAAUAAUCAAUGGCUACAAUUGGUUCAUUUGUAAUUGACAUUGGUACUUUAUGAGACGAUCCAUUGAAAUUGAGGUGUCAUUAAAUGGGAAAAAAAAUAAAAGAGGAAAGGAUGCAAUCAAAUCCACCUCCGAAUCAAACCUUUCCCCAAAAUCAGAAAGGACAAAGGAAAGGUUAAAUGUGGAAAGAAAAUGGGCCAAUCGCAGACCUACUUUUGCAAGCCUAGGGAGUUGGACAAAUCCUGAUGCAUUGCGGCUUAAUGCUUAUGUAUGACCUUGGGAAUUGUUCAUGUUUUGAUGCAUGGCGGCCUAAUGCUUUUAAUAACCCGUUUGGAUUGUAUGUUUUCUGGAUAAGUUUUUUGAUACAUGUUUCUCUAUGAUUAUGAUCUUUUAAUAUCACGCACUAGUCUCUGCAAUAUAGCGUUAUACCUCAAUCUUUUCCCACAAAAACUCCUGAAAUACGCAAUCCAAAUGGCUACCGUCUUAUUUAGUCAUCUUAUAAGCUUUCUGACUCAGACUCUGGUAGAAAUUCAACAGUGUCGGAGCUACUAGGAAAACAAAGGCGGGGUGGCGGCUUUGUUUUACUCGCUCUCGUUCAGUGCUGCUCGAACUUGUGCACAAGAUGAAGUAUUGAACCUAUCGGUUUCGCCCAACAAGGAGCCCAACGACUGGGGAAUGCUUCCGAUGCAAACCAUGUACAGCAGCGAUGGAUGGGACUCUUAUUCCUGGGGAUUCCUAGCUGACUCCGACGUGAUUGAGAUUUCCAUCCAUAACCCAGGAAGGGAAAAAGACGCUACUUGUGGCCCUCUUAUCGAUUCUGUUGCCCUCAAGGCUUUGCGUAGGCCUCUAAAAACAAGAGGUCAUUUCUCUCCACCACACACACACACACACACACACUCUCUCUCUCUCUCUCUCUCUCUCUCUCUCUCUCUCUUGCAUCUGGUCCAAUUGUUUAGUUUGGUAGAUGACUAGGGAGGGUUUAUAAAUUAUAAUUGGACCAGGGAUUUUCCUAUUACCUAAUCAAUGUCUCUAUCUGCUAAUGUGGGUUUAGGUGACUAUUGGGGGCUAAUUAUCUAUGUAGUUUAGAAAUUUGAAGUGAAUUAAUUUAUAUUGACAUCUUAUUUACCAUAAAACUUAAAAAAAAAGUGUGAAGUGAAUCACAUCCAUUAGUAGCAACAGGUGAACCUCAGUAAUUGUUCGGACCCUCAAUCCGUUAAAGAAGUCCAUAAAUUCUGAAGGCCCAUUUCUCAGGAUCGAUGUUACUUCCUAAUAUCUCCACAAAAAGAGCAAUAAAUUCUAUGGCAUAUGCACGUUUAAGGGGGGACACGAUAAACGUGUCUAAUCAAAUCUAACACUUUAUUGUUCAAACUUGUUUAAUAAUUUUAUCGAGUUUGAAAUUAUAUUUAAAUUUGAUUUGUUUAAUUGAUUCCAAAAUACUUGUUUGAGUUUAAUUUAAUUAGUCGGCGAACUAAACUCGAGCAAGCUUUUACUGAGUCGAACUCACUGAGUACUUUUGUUUGUCUUUCAACCAAACUGCCGCUUGCGGCCUUUCUCACAAAUCAUUAGAAGGAAAAUCAUUAGAACCAUGAUGACUGGAUCACAACAAGAAGUUUCUUACUAGAUUCUAGCUCAUCCAUUCCUUUGCUAAUUCAAAUUCUGUAUUCAAUCCAUGUUAUUCUAUCAAUGUGCCUCCUGCUUUUCAAUAUGAACCCACAUAUCUUGGUUCAUUGAUGCAAUGCAGGAAAUCUGUUGAAGAAUGGAAAUUUUGAAGAAGGUCCAUAUAUCUUCCCCAACACAACAUGGGGAGCUCUAAUUCCUCCCAACAUCGAGGACGACCAUUCCCCGUUGCCCGGCUGGAUAAUCGAAUCCCUCAAAGCCGUAAAGUACGUAGAUUCAGAACAUUUCAGCGUCCCAGAGGGAAAACGAGCUGUAGAACUCAUAGCAGGAAGGGAAAGCGCUAUUGCCCAGAUAGUGAAGACCAUCCCAGGCUGGUGGUACGAUCUAGUUUUCUCAGUAGGCGAUGCCAAGAAUGGGUGUGAAGGAUCUAUGCUAAUAGAGGCGUCUGCUGGGAAGGUCACGCUUCAGGUGCCCUACCAGUCCUCUGGUAAGGGGCAGUUCAUCCGAGCCACCCAUCGAUUUAGAGCAGUUUCAAGGCGCACAAGAGUCAGGUUUUUGAGCAGUAACUAUCAUAUGAGGAGUGACAAUACUGGAACAUUAUGCGGUCCUGUGAUUGAUGAUGUUCGGUUGUAUAGUCUUCGUAAACUACGUAUGUGAAGCGAUUCAGCCACAGAUACUCUCAAGCGUCAGAAUUUACAAAUCCUCGAGUUUACUCUCUCGCAAAGUCAUGAAUCGUGAUCAUCAAUAGCUUAUGAAGGAAAUCUAUUGUCUUGUUAUUGUGCUGGGGUGGGGUGAUUUUUUUUUUUUUUUCCUUUUUCCCUAAGAUUACUAUUACUGCUACUACAGAAACAAUUCAAACAGAGAAGAGAGCUUUUAAGUUGCUAUAUUACAGCAUUGGUCAGUAUAAAAUCAUACUCCAGAUUUUAGUUAAGGGACAUCUUAUCGUACAUGGUGAUGUUUAAUUGCUUCUUGCUGCCGGGAUAGAGUAUUAUUUGAAAUAUUAUUUAGAAUAAUUACGGUAGCACUUUUUGUGUGAUAUGAUAUAUGCGAGAUAAAAAGGUAAUUGAGAAUAUAAAAAUAUGAGUUGGAAAAUGUGUUUAUGAUGCAAGCGAAAUAUUAUUUGAGAUAUUUGUACUAUCCAAACACUAUUGGAAUUAUAAUAACGCUUAAUUUCAAUAAACCCCUCGAAAAGUACACUCUUCUUUUCUCAUCUUGCCCCCUCGAAGAUUGAAUUGCACUAACCAACCCCUAUAAUAAUAUUCUCAAAUAGGUGCAAACGGGUCGAGGAGCCCAAUGUGUGGCAAAUUCGGGCAUGCACACCUUAUGACGUGCUCAAUUUUUAAAUGAUCACCUUUAGUCAAUUUUCAUUUUUUUGAGUGGAUUUUGGUUGGAAUUUACCGGACCCACAUGACGUGCUCAAUUUUAAAGGGUAAGAAUGACAAACCGCCUUGACUAGAAAUGUGAGAGGACUAACAGUGCAAAACUUUAGUUAAACAUUCAUCAAAAAACACAUAACUAACCCACCAUUACUAACAAUUCAUCUAACCCAAAACAACCUAAAAAUUCAUCUGAAGGAAAUUGCUGAUUGAAAUGCUAGAUAUAUUGGGUUCUGAGACAAUGAUGCAACAAGUGCAGAAUGACUCGACCACCUUGGCUUGAUCGACGGAUGCAAUUUCCACAAUUUCUCCAUUUUCCAGCAUUAGGGCCGGCCAUCCUGACUUUAAUGGAGAAUGGGUUCUUCUUGGCUUCAGUAAUUGCACCACCGCUAUAGACCGUGACAGCACCAUCGUCGCCCCAUCGUUGCAAGUGUUCGUAAAAUGCCUGAACGAAAUGUCCAACUGGCUAGAAAUUGUAUGUGAUUAGUGUUAGGAUGCGAAAUAUGGAAAAAAGAAGAAGGAUAACAUGAGCGAAGAGCUUAAGAAGAAGAUUAGGGGAAAUCAGAAAAUAGGGCAGAGUAUGGUUCAAGAAGCUUCUGGCAGGUUACUGUGUUAGGCUUGUAGGAAGAAAAUUAGACAAUUAGAAACUUCCGAUGUCUCCAAACUCCAAGGAAUAUGCUUUACUAUGCUUGCCUGCUUCCCGUACCAUCUAUGGAUUACCUUUUUUUUUUUUUUUUUUAACAUUUAUCUUUUAUAGUAAAUUUGCUUGUUAUUUUCUUGUCUUCAAUCACCAAUUUCCUUCGAAUGAAUUACAAUCAACUAAGAGGAGUUUGCAAUUAGGGUUCAUUUUGGGUUGAGACGAAUUGGAGAUUUGAAGGUAAUAGUGGAAUAUUCUUUGUAUUUAGAUGAAUAUUUAACAAAAGGUUUGCACCAUUAGUCCCCCAAAUUUCUGAUCAAGUUGAUUUGUCAUUUUUACUCAUUAAAAAUUGGACACGUCAUGUGAGCACAGUAAGUUUUGGCUAAAAUUCGCUUGGAAAAGUGUAAAGGGAUCAAAGGGAAUCAUUUUUUGUUUGUUAGAGAUUAAAACUGAUCAUUUUCAUUUUGAGGGACUAAAUUUUCAUAUCAACAAUAUGUGAGGGAAGAUUUGGUGCAAUUCUCUCGCAUUAGCUGAAUUUUAGUUACCUAAUCCUUAAAGAAUUAAAUUUGGUCAACUGAGUACUUAGUUGAGAUGGAUUUUCAAGGAAGGAAGAAGACAGCCAAAGAAAAAAGAAUCACUUGGUUGUUUUUCAAGAAUACUUUGACAUGCUUUGUGAUAAUCUGGCAUUAUCUUUUCUCUUGAUUCUUUCAAAUAAAGAAAGUUUACUGAUGAAAUUUUUUCUUGUGAAGCACGCCUUAUUUUCUAGGACAUCAAAGUUUUGGUUUAUCAUGUCUGUAGAACAUAUGAAAUGUAAAGUUUGUAAUGUCCAUCUUCGUUUAUGAUGAUAAUAUGCUUCAUCAGGUUAUUGUUCCUAGGGCCAGAUUCUUCAAAUCAUCAACUUUUCUUUGUAAAGUUGUCCUUUCUCCUCUGGUUAGCCAUAUCUUGAACAUUUGAAAAAUGCAUAAUUUGCUGUCAGUGACAAGUGACUUUACCAUAGCAAUUAUUUGAACUCCUGGAAGUUCAAAGUUCUGAAUUAUCAAUGCGUCCUUCUUCCCCUGCUGCUGUGCCAACUAAUUCACAAGUUGCAGUAAUUUAUUUGUCGACUUGACUCCAGAACUUUUUCCUGCCAGGAUCUUGACCUCACCCUGCUCCCUCUCUUAUUGGCCCUCCCCCAAGUCCAGGAUUUGUCUUUCAGUUGCACCUGAUCUUGAUUUUCAUUAUCAUCCUCUCUUUUGACCAGCUUUUCCAAGGAUGUAGUCUGGCUUAAGUGAUGUUAACUUGAUACACACCGAAUAGCUCAGCUCAGUGCUUUUAGUAGCUAAGAGGAGGAGGCAAGAGGGACGACAACUCAAGCAGUCAAGCCACAGUUAGCCUAUAACAAGGGCUUUGUUGGUCGCAAGCUUGAAUCAGUAUUACUUUACCCUGAAGUAUGCCAAGCAUUUAUUUAACCCUUUGUAACGCAACUUUGCAGCAUUCAUGGGCAGCGUGCAAUCAUGAUGUUUGAUGUUACAGCACGUUUGACCUUCAAGAAUGUGGCAACAUGGCAUCGUGAUCUCUGCAGGUGAACCAUCAUGUUUCAUAUUACCAUACACUUCAACUUAUUUCUGCAGUCCUUUAUUUUUUGGCCAACAUUCUCCUGUCAAUUACAGGGUGUGCGAAAAUAUACCAACUGUUUUGUGUGGGAAUAAAGUGGAUGUCAGGAAUAGGCAGGUAAAAGCAAAGCAGGUCACAUUCCAUAGAAAGAAGAAUAUUCAGUACUAUGAAAUUUCGGCGAAGAGCAACCACAACUACAAGAAGCCGUUUCUCUAUCUUCUUCGGAAACUUGCUGGGUACUGAUUACAGAAGCAGCAUCUCCUGUAACUUUACUAUCUAUGGAUGGCUCUUGUUCCUACCUUUAAAAUUUUUUACGGCAGCUGUCAAAUUGUUUUGUUCUACAGGGACCCUAACCUUAACUUUGCAGAGCAGCCUGCUCUUGUACCACCUGAAGUUCGUAUUGACGUGGUUGCACAGCAGCAGCAAGUGAUCAUGCAGAAUUAAAAGCAGAGAAUAUAUAGUUAACUCAAAGUCUCAGACAUCCCUCACAAUUUUGAAUGUUUUAGUGAAGUUGUACUGGGUUUAGGCUUUGUAUCAACAUUGCGUCUCGGUUCUGGUAAAUGUUCUGACGCUUAGGUAAGCCCAAGUUACUGUUAAUGCAAGAUGGCGCUCAGUGGGCUAAAGAUUUGCAAAACGAGGCCGGCCCAUAAAUUUUAUGGAUCACAUUAGGGUUUUCAAAUUCUUCUUCUUUUUUUUUUUUUUUGGGUUUUCCUCAUUGAUUUUCAAGUCAAUUUUAGUCAACGUCUUGUGAUUUCCCCUGAUAUGAUGAUAACCCCCGAUAGUUUUCCUGGACCACUUGAGUCCACGGCUAGCCUUCAUAUUUGACAUCUUCUACAUUCUCUCUGUUCUCCGCCCUUUUCCUCCUCUUUUCCUCGUCUUUUUUAGUAUAUAAUAAAUAGCCCUCUUCCGCCCUUCCUUCACUAAGAACCUGGCAAUCUCACUAUCCCACCGUCUGGUCUCUUUUUUUUUUUGCAGGAAUAUAAAAUGGCUCAUAUGUGUUCGAGACGUGGUUUCCACCACUUGUGUGUUAAUGUUUAGUUCUGGCACUUCGUUAAUCACUCUUUUAACUCACGCACAUGAAUAAAACUGGUUCAACAACUUUUAGACACGCCAUUAUGGAUUUGAAAUGCUCAAACCAAGGAAGAUGUAACACUUAAUGCAUUACGAAAUAUGUUUUUUAGUUCCUUAUAUAUAUAUAUAUAUAUAUGUAUAUAUAUAUAUAUAUUGUCCCCUAUAAUCUUGAGUUGUGAGAAAUUUUUAUCUCGUGAAUUCAUCAAGAUCCUUGUUGGCAUUGUUCAAGUAGGUCCCUAAUAUAUAAUAGCCUUAUGAUUUAUGUAUGGAAUAUAGUUUUGGAUCGAAUCACUGUCGUUCCACAGUAUAGACCUCCUGGGAAAUUGUCAUUUUCUCAAAGAUGGCAGAGAUAAGUUUGAGAAAACGUCGAAAGGCUAAAAACCCUCCAUUGUUCGUUUACUCUAGGGUGUAAUAAUGGCUGAAAAACGACACGGUAUAAAGUUGGAUAUUAGCAUGAGAAGUUGACAUACACCUUUUACUUUUUCCUCAAUAAUUCUGUACAAACCACAUGAGAAGCACUUCUCGACCGUCCAUCAAAAAACAACUCAUUACAUAGCUACGGGAUAUCAACUUAGGCUCAGCAUAACCAACCUACAAGCCACCAAACCAUCCUAAAAGCCAUGAGACACCAAUAUUCUGGAUAAAAAAGACUUGGCACUUUCAGUGGUAUGGAGAUUAGAAUGUCAACUCAUGCAAGUUGGCCAAAGCCAACGCAACACAAAUCAAUACCAAGAAAACUUAUAUCAAGGUGGAAUCAUUAUUAUGUUUGGAAAAUGCUCACACAUACUCAUGGUCAUAGAUGGGAAAAAAAAAAAAAAAGACUCAAUCCCAUCCGUUACCUUAGUCCAAAAGAAUUGGAUUGUUGAGCACACAUAUGGGAGCUACAAAAACAUGGGCUGGAAAAGGAGACUACUCUACGCAUGCGAUGAACCAAAACCACGAUUUACAUUAGACAAGGAUAAAGUUGUUAGAUAUUUAAAUUAUCGAUGAUUAGGUUCUUGAUUGAAUAUAGCAAAGAUCAGCUGCCAUUAUUUUAUGCAACUGGCAACGGGAUUUCCCUUUUUUGCUGAACCAUUUGUACUUUGUGCAUGGUCUUCAAUGGAGAGACAUAAGUUAUCUAAUCCAGGAUGGUGUAAAAGAGACAAAACAUUUGUGCAGCAAGUGCUUGGAUUUGUUAACUCUGCUUGGAAAUUGGUAAAAAGUUCUUGUAGUUGGUGGAAUGCAACAAUAAAAUAGCCGUGAUUUCAUUCUUUUAAACUUUUAAAAAGGUGUUAAAACUUAAAAGAAGCCCCCCCCCCCUCCCCAAGAAUUACGAUGGCAAAAAUGUUAUAGAUAACCUGUGACAGCAUGAUUGUAAAGCUGUUACCCAUGGCCGAUGCUUACAGACAAACCUAACCCCGUUCCCACUUUUAGAUUUCUGGACUACAUACAUCUUGAGACUACUGAUGACCUAGCUUUAUCCAAAGGCAAAAGCGUCCCUGUCAUCAUAGUAUCUUUGUUACUAGUUCAAUAGCUAGAUAUAACUGCAUUAAUUUUAUGAGAUUAGCUGAGAUUUUUAGUACCUUAAACCAAUAGCUAUAACUACAGGCAAUAUCAUAAAAGUUGGAUUUAGGGCCUACAGAAUUGUAGUUAUGCCAGCAUUCUCCAGUCUCAACGGUGUAUAGUAGUUUCUUUGUGAAUGGUGGAUUGUAAUUGGAGUACUUCACUUCAUAUGCUAACUGUCAAGUUUCUGGCUUAAUUUACUGAUUUUGUUUAGAAGCAGAUCACAACUGUUAAAUUUGGGAACAUGUUUUUGGCAAUGUUUUUAAACCAGGACCAGAGAGUGAAUCGGAAAACCUUCUAGUUUGCGGUUCGAUCGGUUCAAUUCUAGUUCAAAGGUUUAAUAAUUUUUUAUUCAUUCUAGUAUUAAAAAUUUUGAAUAAAACUAAAAUAUUUAUUUUAGAAAAUAAAUACUUAAUAAAAAGCUUUUACCGGUUUUUACGGGUUCAACCUGUUCUUGACCGAUUUUAAUCGGUUCAAUUAACUCUUUGACUUUGUAAUUGAACCGGAAGAGAGGCAUGACCGAUUCACGGUUCAACCGAUCGAACCGAUCGAUUCGGUCCAAUUUUCAAAACACUGGUUUUUGGUGCCAAAUCCUCAUCUCAAGCAGAUGUGAACCUAAUGACAUCAAAGAACGUCGAAAGAGGAAAGGAAAGAAGAAAAAGGAAAUCAAUCAUAAAAAUGACAACAUGUGUUUGGAGAGAGUACUUCACACAUUCAUGUCAUCUCAAUGUAUAAUGCAAACGAACAUGCAUGAUACACUAACUUGCAUUCUUUUAGAGAAAGCAUGAAGACAAGAAAUAUCUGCUUCAUUGACAAACAAAGACAGUACUUGGCACCGGUUCUUCCCUCCACACAGAAGAAAUCAAACAAAAUGAUGAUUGAAAGCAAAGCGUGAUCCCGUCAUUUCUAAUCGAAUUGUCUUUGCUGAAAAUAUAGGUAUGCCAGGGAUGUGGGGCACUGAUUUUUAGAGGGUGGACUGAUCCAUAAGUCCAAAAGCAAGAGUAGAUGUCAACUGUAGGAUACAUGAUGGAUACAGCGAGUUCGUAUAAUUUGUAGGGAGAUAUAAUUAAUAGGUCCACUUCGAUUAAAAAAAAAUUUCUUUUUGUUGUAUGUUUCUAAUAUUUUUCUAGUUCAUUCAAGGAUAACCUCUUGAAGCCAUUUUAGACACAGUUAUCAGAACAACUACCACGGAGAUGCACAUGACUAUUGGCUGUAGGGAAACGUCUAAUUUGUCUUGGCCGUUGAAAUAUGGACAAGGCACCCAGAAUUACACCCAUUAAUUGAAAUAGCACUUGAAAUCUUCGGUGACAUGUUUUUAUAUGUCAAUCCAAUGUCACCUAUAGUAUUGCAUCCAAGUGUUGAAAUAGGGUAAUAUAAUGUGGUAACACAUAAUUUCGAUAAUAUACUUUUCUUCUCGUGCCAUAGAUUCUAAAGUUGGAGCAAUUUUAUCGUUGUCAUCUCAUCGUCUUCGGGAGUCCAAAAGAAACAAAGACCGGUGCACUAACAUUUGUACUUUAAUUCUACAAUAACUGAUUAAAUUAGAAUUAAUCUUGUAUACACUGAUUACGUAUAUAUUAAUGGAUAGAGCUGCAUGACGCAUGUAUAAAAAUUGAAAUUGAAAUUCAAAUAAAAAUUAAGCUGCAUGUAUUCAUGCCUCUAUUAGCGUACACAUGUAUGUAAAAUUAGAUCCGGAAAAGGUCUCCUCAUUUAUGUAUGGUGUGGCUCACACGUAACAGUAGUAUUCAUUCUAGAAAAAAGAAAAAGACGUGGGUCACAUUGAAGAAUAGCAAUUAGCAAAUUAAUUACACGAACUAAGUAAGAUGAAGGCCAUCAUGGAAUCAUGCUUUGGUAGGGGUAGAGCGCCGCAUUAAUCAGAACCUUUCGACAAAUUUGUAGGAAUCGCAGGUAAUUAAAACAAUUAGGGAUUAUUAUUAUGGUCAUGGAAUCACUAGUCUACUUUUCUGACAUUGGGUUAUCCCACUUUGAAGUGCGACUUGUACUUUUUAUGUCACAUUAAAUUGGCUUUUUUUUUUUAUUUGGCGGACUAUUCUUUUACACGUGUCUUGUAAUAUCAGAAGCAGGUGUUGGGCUGACAAAUACUCCUAAAUUACUUUUUUUUUUUUUUUACAAUAUAUUGUGGGAUGGGCAAUUAGUGAAGAAGAAAGUGUUACUAGAUAAAAAGGUGGAAGAAGUGGGACCUUUAGGAGUAAACGACACAGUUUUUGCGGUUGACUGCGUCCGCCCACCGCGCAGCCUGAGGUGAGAAAAUUUGGUGGGGGCGUGACACGCUGUUGUCAUCUUGUUUUCCAUCGCCACCAAACCACAAACCCCGAAAAGCCGAAAAUUAAACCGACCUAAUUAAAAAGAAAACAAGACAAGAAAAGAAAAGUAUUAUAAAUUAAAAGAUUUGCUUCUUGAAUUCUUUGAAGUGCUAUCUAUAUAUAGACAACAUGUAACAAGAAAAAAAGAAAACAACUCUUUUAGCAGCUUUUCUUUGAUCCGUUAUUUGGGAUCCAAAGUGUUUGAUGUUGUCCAGCAUGCAUCAUUUGGUAACAAUAAUAAUAAUAAUGAUAGGAGUAUUAAGGCGGUAAGUGAGUUUUUUGGGUGUUUGUCUAAAAUUUUACUGUAGUUUACUGUAGAAGUCGUAGAAAAAUUUUUUGAAGUGUGUAAAUUUUUAGAUAUUUUGAAGUGUAUAGUUUAAAAACUUUGAGAAGUUUUUUAAAGUUACUGUAGUUAAAGUUGUUAAAAAACUUGUAGCAAAUAAACUUGACAAAAAACUUGCUUGCCAAACAAGGCCUAAGUUUCUGGGGUGUCAACUACAAAACUAGCAUAUGACUUUUAUGAUCCAGCUGGGAGCUAUUCGAAGAUGAGAGACAUAAAACCAAUUCAUAAGUUGAAAAUGUCAAACAUUUGAGAAACACGUUAAACAAUCAAAAUCUUGGGUGGGAUUUCCUUGAGGGCGUCGAGAAACUUCCUUGAUCUCCUGAAGCAACCUUUUACUAUCAGUUUUCAACAUGUUUAUGAUGGUGGCUUCGGUUUCUUGAUCUCGAUCGGCUUUGAAUUCUUUCGACUUAUCCCUUGGCUCGCAUUCGUACAUUCUUGUGUUUUGUCGCCCCUCAUUCUACGUUAAAAAUAUGUCAACUUCAUUCCAACUCAUGCCAACAGUGUUAUUGUUCGUUUGUUUGGUAAAAUCUUAGCAAAUCCCCAAAGCCGGGAUUCCUGAUGACCGAAUAUUCAAUAUUACGUUGUUUCCUCUGUGACUCUGGCGUCUAAGAUAAUUGGUGUUGCCAUUUGCAUUGUAUUAUAUACGUUCGUGCAUACUACAUUAGUAUGGUUCUCUUUGAGUGAAUUUUUCUUACUUUCUUGAUUGAGCACACAUCUUAAUUACACAUAACUUACUGUAUAAACAAAAGGCAUACGUCUUAAUUACACAUUUACAUUUGUCUAUGAUACCUACCUUUAUUUUUAUGCAAAAAAAAAAGAGAAAAAUUAAUGCUUGAGGCCCUCCUAAACCAAAUCCGUAAUCAAUUAGUUGAUUGUUGAACGCUUAGUCUUUACAACCAUAAACUUGCUAAAACUGCAAUAAAUCAUGCAACCCCAGCUCCAGCUGCCAAGUGGAAUACAUAUGCAAGCAAUAUCCAUCAUGCUUUCAAAGCUCCUAAUUCAAAAGCACAUGCAAACAGACAAUCACUUGUGAAGCGUCCCUUUGGUGGACAGUUAAGACGGAUGUGGUUGAUUACAUGCCAAUCUUUCGGAAUAAUAAACAAAAACAUGAUUGGUUUUCCUGAUUAUGGAAUGUUCAGAGUCGAACAUCUGGCUUCUGAUUAAUGGAUCACCUGACAAGGUCAGCUGAACUUAGCACAGGGGUCUCUUUGUUAGGCCCUGAUGUUUUUAGGCCGACCGAUUAGAAUUAUGACCAGCUCUGUGGUACAUUUUGCUCUUGCAGUUGUUGGACGGUGAAGCUGUGGAGAUCAACAAAAGCUCAAACAUAUAAACGUGGCUGAACUUUUCAUGCUUUCUUUAUUUCAUGUAUCUUUUAAUUACUUGGUGGGAAUUUAUAUAUAACGCACCAAUGACUAAGAGGGCAUCCAUUCGUCACAGGCUCGUAGCCAAUACAAAAUUGAAGCUGAUCUUUCGAUGGAAUUAGAGAGGACCAUCGAGGAGCAGAAGGGCCCCAUCAUGCCUUGGUUGUAUUGGGACAGGAUUAAGGGAAGAGUCCUAGGGUGGGUCACCUAUGCUUUGGGACAACCAAGGCAUAUGCCCCGGCUAAGAGUGCAGGAAGAAAGUAAUAGAAUAGACAGCCCUGUUCCCAUGUGCCCUCUUCUUCACAAAUUCAAUAGCAACCUUCCAAAACCCCUGCAGACCGACUCCCCUUCUGCCCUCUCCUACACAACAGAAAACCAAUACCGUAUCUUCUGAAUCAAGGGAAGAAGCUGGUACUGGGAAGCACUAUCGUAUGUCAUCCCGACCGUAACGUAUCCAUCUAUUUACCUAUGGAGCAUAAUCGUGAAUUUCUAAAUUAAGUUCCCACCCGGCCGGAUUUAGAUGAUCAUGUAAUUGUUUGAGAUGGUCUAUCCAUAAAGUGUGACUUGAAGUUUGUGAUAGAGUGCAAAAUAUAGGUGCCGAUCGAUUUACCAAAUCUCAAUAACAAGUGAUCGAUUUUGCUAAUUCAGGAGCUUUGACAAUUUGCAUCUUCUUUCUACUCAAAUUUUUUGGGUAGGGGCCUUCACCAAAAUUGCAUGUGUACCAUUUUCUCUCGUCUCCACAGGGGGGCCUCCCUUCUAUUCAAGGGCACCCUUUUCCAGUGCCUUCACAUCCGUUUAUCCUACCUAAGCAGGUUCCUCUUAGUAAGGAAGUGCAUAUGACUCCUGCUUUUCUUCCUGCAAAUGAAAUAUGGUCCUGCAUCUUCAUCAACGUGAUAUCAGACCGCUGGAAAUUUUUGGAAAUCUAGAUGGCGCAGUUCAAUGUAUUUGUAUCAUACAAAUAAAUUAUCAUCUGAAUUGGUGGGGGCUAGUUAGGUUUCAAGUCAUUAUUCAUCUAUGACACUCAACGAAAGUGAUUGAAAGCAAGCACUUAGGUGGGUAUAAUGAACUGGAUGGAUACGCCAUAGUAACUUCCAUUUUCUCAGUCAAGACAAACUUUCCAGUGCACCAAUCGACUACAUGUUUCCAAGGCUAUACAUGCUUAUUCAUACAUAUUGUUUUACUUCGGCAAAUAUAGCAAAUAAGCAAAAGCCCCACAAGAAAUUGCAUGGCAUGGCAUGCGCGGUUGUUCACUGUACAUCAGAACCUACUGCUGGUUAUUAAUUAAUUACCUGUCGUUGAUGGAGAUCUUAUCAGCAUCCAAGCUAGUCGGUGCACAAAAUUUUCCUGUGCUUAUGACAUAGUAGGACAUUGACCGCUUACCAUCCUUCAACAGGUGCACAGGAAAUAAAUUUUGGAGUCAACUUUUCACUUUUGAGACCUAAAUUCUUUCUGCCUCUUUGAAUUCAAAGGACGUGUUCAUACAUCAUGUAUACAUGAACUUGAAAUUAGAAUUCAAAAUCAAAGAAAACACACUAGAAACUAAUAAGUUCGUUGAAAAUAGAAUACUAUUAUGAGAUUUGGACCUAUAAUCUAAAAUUUUAGAAAAUUCUUUUUCUUUUGUGUGUGUGUGUGUGUGUGUUGGGGGGGGGGGUAGUAUGAAGACAAGUUUAGCAAUAAAUAAAUCAUAAACUGCUAUAUAUGCCUUGUUUCUUUUAUCUUUUUACCCCCUACUUCAAAAGGUGCUCAUUUUUCUUUUAUUGUAUGUAUUUGAGAUGUUUGUACAAGGUCCAGACCCCAGGGGCUAGGAUUGUCCCAGUCUUGACACCACCAUUAGUUGACUAUAGAGCUAUGACUCAUAUAUAGCGGCUUUUCCGCAUUCCCUGGCUUGCCUCGCUUAGUUAAGCAAACUUUCCGGCAAUCCCUCCUCCAUAACUUAUUACUAUAUAAUACACAGGCCUCCCUUUGAUCUCUUUCUCUCUCUGUCUCUCUCUUUUGGUUUCGAACUCUCAAAUAUUUGCAGAGAGUAGAAUUCAGGAAACCAACUACGUACUACUAAAUCUGCAAAAGGAAAUUCUCGUUAUAACCAUGGCAGAAACCUUCCACUGGUUUUGGCUUCGGCUUAUCUCAUAUUUUCUAGCAGUAUGUGUUUGCAAGGUUUUGGUUCACUACUGGUGGCUGCCAAGAAGAGUUGAGUAUCAGUUUUUACAGCAAGGAAUUAAAGGCCCAGAGUAUCAUUUCUUUCUUGGAAACCUCAAGGAGCUUGCAAGUUUGAUGUCCAGGGCUUCCUCCCAAGAAAUGCCUCUUUCUCACAACAUACUCCCCAGGGUUCUGUCUUUCUAUCAUCAUUGGAAGAAAAUCUAUGGUACUCGAGACUCGUUUCCCGUCAUAUUUUUCUUUCCAUUUGAGGUUACUGCGGAUGAGUCAAGCCAUGAUUUUCAGACUCUCUUCGUUUAAUUCUAUCCAUCUUUGGUUUUCAACUAAUAGAAUAUUGGUUUGGCUUCUGAACGUACAAGUACUAAUGAUUUUGUCUUCUUGAGACAAAUGGUUUUCCUAAAAGUUUUUGACAUCUUGUCUAAGGGAGUAUGAUUCAAGGCCAUCAUUUUCCUAGUGUUUGCUCAGGGCCACAUCUUUUUGUACUCGUCCAAGAGGUGGUGUCUACUUGACAUGAAAUCAUAACGCGCGCUUCAUUCAUUUUUUCCUUUGUAGAUGCAAAGUUAGAAACAAGCAUCCAAAAGUUUCGAACUGCUGUUUUUCUUUUGGCUUCUUCUUGUUCUUCGUUUGGUUUCAGUUGAAUUCUCAAACUGUUCAUCUAGUAAUUUUAGCAGUUACAAGAAAUUUAACCCUUGAAGUGUUGUCUUCGAAAGUACCAUGCGUCUUCUAAACUACGGAAGGCAGAAUAUGUUUUUAUUAAGUGCCAGAAUAUAUUUCAUCAAGGCGUUUAAAUUCCAGAAAACGUUCCACUAAUGUGCCUAACUUCCCUUGUCCAUAAAAUGCCCGUUACACCAGUUCCACAGCUAGCAUAAUUUGUCCGUUUCUUUUCUUUUCUCCUUCCCUUUUUCUAUCAAAACUUUGAAGGGUUUAAAAUAAGCUGGCUCUCUCAAUAUUGCAGGCGCAAGCUUUCUUGUAUGGUUCGGACAUACACCUCGUCUCACCAUAGCUGACCCUGUCCUUAUUAGAGACAUUUUCGUUACAAAGUCAGAAUACUUUGAGAAAAAUGAACCACCUCCCCUUGUUAAGAAGCUUGAAGGUGAUGGUCUAUUAAGUCUCAAAGGAGAAAAAUGGGCUCAUCAUAGAAAGAUCAUUACACCAGCCUUCCACAUAAAAAAUCUCAAGGUAUAUAAAAAUUUUUUUUUUACGAUUUUUUAACAGUUUUAAUUAGUUAAAGUUGUAAGCUGCCUUUUGGUUAAGAUGCAUUGAUCAACAUCCCAUUGCAUGUGUCCAUUUUCUCUUGUUUUGGUAUGUGUAGCUGAUGAUACCCAUGAUGGCGAAUAGCAUGGGGAAGAUGCUGAAACAAUGGUCCAAAAUGUCGUCAAAUGACGGCAAGGUGGAAAUUGAAGUCUCAGAAUGGUUCCAAAACUUGGCAGAAGAUGUCAUCACCCGCACAGCAUUCGGAAGUAGCUAUGAAGAUGGAAGGGCUAUUUACCAACUUCAAGCUCAGCAAAUGGUCUAUGCCACUGAAGCAUAUCAAAAAGUGUUCAUUCCGGGUUAUAGGUAAUUAAUUUGAUUAAUUAAACAUUUUGCUGCAUAUAUAUAUAUAUAUAUAUAUAUAUAUAGCUAGCUAGUAAUAUGAUAUACAGUACUGUAUAUAUAGGUCAUGCAGUUGUCGCCCUUGUCCAAACACGGUUUAACUUCAGAAUCUUGCGAAUUUGAACUGAUUUGUUUAUGAUUGCUGCCACAGGUUUUUGCCCACCAAAAAGAACAGAAUUUCUUGGAGACUGGACAAAGAAAUUAGAAAAUCCUUGAUGAAACUCAUCGACAAGAGGAGAAAAAAUGCGAGUGCCAAGGGGUUGUCAGAGGAAUGUCCAAACGAUUUGCUGGAACUCAUGAUCAAGGCCAGUUUGAAGGAAACAACAAAAAAAACAGUCCCAAAUAAUUCAACUUCGAAUUCAAACACGUCGUCAUUAAUGUCCUCGUCGUCCAUCACAGUUCAUGACAUUGUUGAGGAAUGCAAGACAGUUUUCUUCGCCGGAAAGCACACCACAUCAAACUUGCUGACGUGGACGACCAUUUUAUUAGCUAUGCAUCCUAAGUGGCAGGAACUGGCACGUGAGGAGGUCUUGAGGGUGUGCGGAGCACGUGAUACACCUACUGAAGACGAUGUUGCCACGCUUAGGACGGUGAGCUAAACCCUAAAUUUUAUACUAUAUAUCUUUCCCAAUGAUUUUUUUGCUGAAUGGACGCUGGUUGGGAGAAGUCUCAGUCAGUUAGCGUUACUAGUUUUUUUCCACAAAAAAAAAAAAAAAGUGAUAUUUUUUUUCAUGCAAAGCUAAUCAUAUCCUACUAGUUAAGUCAAGUCUUAAAGACGGUCCGUCCUGGUAUAGUUUGAUCGGUAAACUAAUCAAUUCAUAUCGAAGCAUUAAACAAACAAACAUAAAAAAAACAGGUGUACCUUUUCUCUUUCUCUUUGGGUACGUAGAACAUAAUAUUCAUCCGGUCCUUGUGUGCGUCUUAUGAAGGAGGAAGCCGGGCGGCAGAUUUGUCCUCAAGCCAAAAAGGCCUCGGCUUGGGAUGUUUUUUUGGUGCCUGGUGACUGGAUUUAUAUUACUACUAGUUUGUCCUUGAACUAAAGUUAGAGUGUCCAACUUUUGGGGCUUUAGAAGAGAAUCGAAAAACUUUGGGUGUUUUCAGCAACUUUCCGGGCAUUAUUAUUAGCUGCUUUCGGUCUUCUUCUCCGGAAAACAGAAAUGCAACCCGACACUGUACUUCCCAAGGGGAGCCCCAAAAUCUUGCCUCUUUAAUUUGGAGGUUAUACUUAUCCACAACCUAACGUUAACAAAAUAUCUUCCAUCCCUCAAUGUUAGUUUUCCUAGUCUUCAUCCUGCCACGCUUUGAAACACAAGUUUUAGAGAAUGAGAUCAGUGAAAAUCUAGAUUGUGCAAGUUUUGGUUCAUCGUUCAUAAGAACUUGGCUGUCAGUUUGACCCUAUCUAGCUCUCAAGUCUCAAGGAUAUGUUUAGGUUUAAUCAAGCCCAUGUUCUUAAUUAAUUUCGUUGCUAUUACAAUUUUAUUCACCUUAAUUAAUUAUCCGCAGCUGGGCAUGAUAUUGAAUGAAUCUCUGAGAUUAUAUCCACCAGCAGUGGCAGCAAUCAGGAGGGCCAAGGUGGAUGUAGAAUUGGGAGACCUAAGGAUCCCACAGGGCACAGAGCUCCUCAUACCAAUCGUGGCCGUUCAUCAUGAUCCAGAGUUGUGGGGCAACGAUGCAAAUGAGUUUAACCCCGCCAGAUUUGCGGGAGGGGUAGGACAUGCAGCCAGGCAUUCAAUGGCUUUCCUGCCUUUCGGAUUAGGCUCCCGUAGAUGCAUUGGCCAGAAUCUAGCCAUAUUGCAAGCGAAAUUAGCCAUUGCUAUGAUUCUACAACGCUUCUCUUUUGAUCUAUCGCCAACUUACCAGCAUGCACCCACUGUUCAGAUGCUUCUAUAUCCACAGUAUGGUGCACCCAUUAUGUUCCAAAAAUUGUAGCCAGUAGGAUCUCAAAGACUUACUGUCAUAUAAGCCUAGAUAGCUAGUAUUCUCACUUGUACCUAGUUACGACCAUGAAUGCGUAAAUGUUAUAUACAGGAAUUAUAUCAUCUUUUUUACCUUCAGCUGCAUGCCUUUAAAUUUUGGUUAUGCCUCUAAACAGUAGCACAUUCACCCUUGAACCCUUUUUUUUUUUUUUUUUUUGGGAAUUAAGGGUGAACUUUUAUUUGUUUGUGUAAAUUAUUCUAGGUACGUACGUGUACGUGUACGUGUAGGGGUACAAGAAGAUAACUUUGGAAUCACUUGCAUAUAUUCUAGCUCAUUGUGAUCGAUCACCAUUACGCUUCAUUGACUUCUAGGGAGCAAAAAAAAAAAUUUUUUAAAAGAAGAAGUGCAUGAUGCAAUUUUUAGGUUUAAGGAGACUCUAAUCUUUAUAAAUGAAUAAAAAAGGACUCCAAAUCUUUGAAAUCGAACCUAAUACCUCACCAUUCCAAUUGUUAAUAUCCGUAUUUGGUCGUGCUAACUAACACUAGAUCCCUUAUAAAAUAUUUAGGCUCUAUUUGAAUAGAAGCAAAUUAAGAAAGUGAAGUAAAAGAAAACGAAAAUUGUUUUGUGGUUUAUAUUUGGUUAGCAAGAAAAAUUUUGAGGGAAAAUGGGAAGUUAGUGAUAGUUAGUGGUAGUUGUUAAAAUUUUGUGUCUAACUUAACCUAUUUUCCUUUGAAAUCCUGCAAAUUUUAUAGGAUGCAAAAUGCAAGAAAGUGCAAGAAAAUGCUUCAACUAUCCCCCUGCUUAGUGCUUGCCAAAUAUACAUGAAAGAAAAAAUAACUGACUUUCCUUAAUAUUUUUCCUUGCAAACAAACACAUCCUAAAAAAAAUUUUCGUAAAGCUUUGGUCCUUUUGAACGAGCAAAAACAGUUUAAAAGCCCGAAUUAUCAUUUCAAGCCCAUGUUGACUCAACCAUAAAUUAAUUAGGCCCAAAUGUGUUGCUAGGCUUGCGGCUUACCCAAGCAUUGAGCCCCCUCUAGCCCAGUAAGCUCAUUGAGUUUUCGACGUGGCACUUUGUCAACCAGCGGCGCACUGUACACAUAAACAACAAUGGAAGAGCGGGUGGGGCUAACGUGUGCCACAAGAACUAGCCACGUCAUUGUGGCGCACAUUAGCCACACCCACUCUCCCAUUUAAGGCGGGAAACACGUAAGCCGUUUAAAACCACGCAUUAGCUUCCGAUGAAAUUAUUAUCUCAUCAUUUCCGCUCUGUGUCUUCCUCGGGCCUGCCCAUGGCUAAAAUGGAUCCCGGGUCAAACUCUCUUAUGUGGUUCCGAAAGGGUCUUCGGAUCCACGACAAUCCAGCUCUCGACUACGCUGCUAAAGAUUCCAAGCAUGUAUACCCGGUUUUCGUGAUCGACCCGCGCUAUAUGGAGCCCGACCCAACAGCAUUCUCCCCGGGUUCAGCUCGUGCUGGUCUGAACCGGAUUCGUUUCCUACUGGAAAGCCUCACUGAUCUGGAUAAAAGUUUAAAGAAUCUUGGUUCGCGAUUAUUGGUGCUCAAGGGUGAACCAAGUGAAAUGGUGAUUCAUUGCCUGAAGGAGGUAAUAAUUUUUUUUGGGGGUUAACUUCUCAACUGUCAAGUCCUCUGCUUUUGCUACUUAUGAAUUAAUCUUGGCAUUAUCAAUUCAGAAUUGUGGUUAGUACCUGUGGCACCGACAAUGUUUUUUUUUUCCUGGGGUCUUGAAUGUUUACUGAAGUAUAAUGUAGGCCUAAAACUGGGUACCAGGACGAGUUUUCAGGCCCUUAGAAAUGGGUAGUCAAAAAGAGCUUAAAAUUUUGUCUUUAGUAUGGUUAUGUGAUGAUUCUGUAAUUUCUGAUGAUGGUUCUGUUUCUUUGGAGGUUCAAGUGGAACAUAAGCAAGCUAUGCUUUGAAUUUGAUACAGAACCAUAUUAUCAAGCUUUAGAUGAUAAGGUCAAGGUGAGAAUUCUUCCCUGGAUGAAGAGUGUUUGGGACACCUUUGUUUCUUAUAGCUCUUGAUUCAUUGAAAUCUGUAGCAUGUUUUAAUGCUUGCAGUGCGAAUGUGGUAAUAGAUGUAUAACAUUUCCUUUGACAGAGCUAUGCUUCUUUAGUUGGUAUAGAGAUAUUUUCUCCAGUGAGCCAUACACUCUUCAAUCCUGCAGAGAUCAUCCAGAAGGUAAUUAAGUCAUUCCUAAAGUUGACACAACUUUAGACAAGCUAAUUCUUUUUCCUCCUUUUCACCUGAGACUAUUUAACCGGAUAAUUUCCUUCCUACAUGUAAAUUGUCUUGUGCAUUCCUGCUGAACAUACUUGUUGAUACCACAUUUUUCAAGAAAUUUUUGUUAAAAUAUUUUCUGAUUUCAUUUUACUGUCUCUUGGUCCAUCUGCUCAAUUUGAUAUCAAAGAAUGGGGGGACACCACCUUUAAGCUAUCAAUCGUUUAUCAAAGUUGCUGGUCAACCCUUCUGGAGUUCAUCUUGCCUUUCAACUUCGCUUUCUUGUCUUCCUCCUCCUGGAAAUCUUGGGAGUUGCACCAUCUCUGAAGUUCCAUCGUUAAAUGACCUUGGUUACAAGGAAAGUGAAGAGGUAGGACGUUAUGAACUUCUUAAGAGGCCUUCACAGAUGAACAUCUUCUAAGAAAUACUAUUCAGCAGGAUGAAAGGACUCCUAUUAGAGGUGGUGAAUCAGAAGCUUUGAGGCGACUGAGUGAAUCAAUUGCUGACAAGGUUGGCUAGCAUUGCCAUUGUCUCAACUCUCAAAUUCAUAGGAUGGCUAACUUCUUAUAUUUAUUUGGCUUGCUUGCACAUGAAUGGAAAAAUAUUUUCCAAUAUUCCUGUGUUGACAAUGUCUCCCCCUCACCUGUCUUUGUCUUGCUUUAUCUGGUAUAUUUAUUGAUUACGUUGAAAAACAGUACCAGGAAAACGUUUGUUCUCCUUUCUUUGUAAUAUGUCCCUUUCUAACUCAACACUAUGAAUACAUGGUUCAUCCUAUUUUGUGUUUGUUGCACUAUUAUACUAGUAGUUCCAGCUGUCUCUCAUUGAGUUUUUCUUUCUGGUACAUUUCCAUUUGAUCAUGGAACAACGCAUGUUUCUUAGGACUGGGUAGCAAACUUUGAGAAACCCAAGGGGGAUCCAUCUGCAUUUCUAAAACCAGCUACAACUGUUUUGUCACCGUACUUGAAAGUAAGUACAAAACACUGGAUUGAUGUUCGGCCAUUUGUCCAAAGUAUUCUAAUCUAUUACCCUCCUCUUUCAAUUUUGUUGGAAGUUCGGUUGUCUGUCACCCAGGUACUUCUACCAGUGCAUUCAGGAAGUUCAGAAAAAUGUUAAGAGGCACACGUCUCCACCAGUUUCCCUUCUUGGACAGGUCAGCUUACUGAUGCUUCUCCAAAUUUUACUCCCCUCAUCUGACUGGCUCAUCAACUUCUGCAGUUGCUGUGGCGAGAUUUUUUCUACACAGUUGCUUUUGGCACCCCCAAUUUCGAUAAGAUGCGCGGAAAUAGAAUAUGCAAGCAGGUAAUAUAACUAAGUGCCCAACCUUUUUUGUCUCAGCAAAAUUUGGGCACGUAAAUUGUGGGAGCUGUGCAGCUAUGAGUUUGCUUUUGGUUGAUGAUUUAAAUCUUAAUGCCUUCAAGCUUGCUGACAAAAAAUGAAGGAUAGGAUUGUGAAUGUGUGUUGGGCGGCCGGGGGGGGGGGGAGGGGAGGGAGAGAGUCUCCCCUUAAGUAUAUUGACAAACAUAUGGUCCUUUUUUAAAAACCACAAUUUAGUCUGUACAGAAAUAGUUUCAUGUUACAUUAAUAUAUGUCCAAUCAGCUAGAAAAUGCAGAAAUUCAGGAAUAGUUCUAUGCUAUAAUUGAUCAUUUCUCUUAAUUGGGGAGAGCAGCUUUAAACAAUGUAAUAUCUAGGCUGGGAAUCCAAUAAAUAUUAGUAUAGUGAUCUCCAGAUGAGGAAAUGAAGGGAGAAAUUGAAGAGGGAUUCAAUGAUCUAAAGAAUAGAAGAAUAGUUGGAUACUCUGGUGGCAAAUUAUUUUAAUAUUAGUUAAUUCAAUGAUUUGAUAAUUGUUAAGACCUUUAAAAAUUCUGAACUUUCAUUUGGCAAAUCCUUUGCACAUUUGGUAAGUAUGUUUCUCGUAUUGCAGAAGACUGGAAGUUGGUAUUGUUAGCCUUAUAACAUUUGGUUAGUGCCAAUUAGUUUUAUGCUAGGAAGGUUAGUCUUCGUGCUUACAAAUGAUCAUUUGAUAUUUGACAUAGAUACCAUGGGAUAGCAAUGAUGAGCUGCUUGCAGCUUGGAGAGAUGCAAGGACAGGUUUCCCCUGGAUUGAUGCCAUUAUGGUUCAGGUAAGGUUCAGAUUUGGAAUUCCUUGAUUGUUAAAGGUAGAGACUCUGUUACUAGAGAUUUAUCCAAAUUUCAGAUUACACCGUACUACUAUAUCUAAGUCUCGUAUAAAAUUGCCACAGCUUCGGAAGUGGGGUUGGAUGCACCAUCUUGCAAGGCAUUGUGUUGCUUGCUUUCUAACGCGUGGAGAUCUGGUAAUGGACUUCAACAUUAAGUGGCAAUACAGUUUACCCUUACCAUUUUUUUGUCUGACAUGCUUGUGCUGACAGUAUGUGCAUUGGGAGAAAGGCCGUGAUGUCUUUGAGAGACUUCUUGUUGAUUCAGAUUGGGCAAUAAAUAAUGGAAACUGGUUAUGGUUGUCAUGCUCAUCCUUUUUCUACCAGGUAUGGUUCACAUUUCUCAAUUUAUCACUCGCAUGUCAUGGUUGUCUUAUUUGAGCUACCGAGCUGAUGACCAGAAGGUUAACAAGCAUUCCAAACUUGAUGAGAUCAAGUGAUCCAAAAAAAAAAAAAGAUGGGAAAAUGUUCAAAUAGUUGAACAAAUAUUGGCAGUUCAAAUUUUUGAACAAUUUUUCUGGAUCAUUAAUUUGGUGAAACCACAGAGUUGCAGUCAGUAUGUGUAAAUGCAGACUGGGUUCUUUGUAGUUCCACAAAGUUUCUAUGAACUACUACUAGUAGCAUUCUAAUGUAACUGUCUUUUGCAGUAUAACCGCAUUUAUUCUCCUAUCUCUUUUGGGAAAAAAUAUGAUCCCAAUGGCAAUUAUAUUAGGCAUUUUCUUCCUGUGUUAAAAGGUAUGUUAAACAUGAAUGACUUCUUGGUUUAUUUACUUGCUUUAGCCAGUCUCAGAAACUGUAAACUUCAUUUCUACGUGCAGAUAUGCCAAAGGAGUAUAUUUAUGAGCCCUGGUGUGCUCCUCUAAGCAUCCAAACUAAAGCUAAAUGCAUAAUUGGAAAGGAUUAUCCGAAACCAGGUCAGAGUCUUGCCUAUAUGCUUUCCCGCUUCUGUCUGACUGCCCAUAUCUGCCGCGGUCUGCUUUGGGACUCCAGCUACAGUUUUUUUUUUUUUUUCUCGAGCAUCAUUUUAAUUGCUCAAAUAUGGAAAGCAACCAACCCAUUCUUCAGAAAGGCCAUGAACAUAUCUCAAAUUUGAAGUUUCUUAGUGCUUUGCUUUAAAUCCUGAGCAAUUGCUUCCCUGAUUCAUCUUCUUCGAAUCAUUUUCAUGGACUUUCAUUUGAGAAAGUUAGAAUGAUCAUUAAUUUACGAGUUAUGCAAAUGUACCCAAAAUGAACGGGGAACAAAGCUGGUUCCUGGAAUGACUUCGUCUUCCAAAUCAGUUCUGUGAAAUGUUCAAGUUCUCGUACAUAGCAUAAAAGAUACGUCUCUAGUAACAUCAAACUGCUCAUCAUUCAAACUACUGUAUUUUCUCUUUCCAAUUUUCUUAUGCUAGUUUGUUUAGUUACUUUCAAGCUUAGUUUUGGAUUGCACCAAGUCAAAAGAAUGGUAUGUUCUGCAUAUUUUACUGGAGUUCUUGUCUUGCAGUGGUUUCCCAUGAUUCUGCAAGCAAGGAAUGUCGAAGGAGAUUAGCUGAAGCAUAUGAGUUAAACAAAAAACAAAAUGGCACGGUGAGUGAGGAAGAUCUGAAGAAGUUGAGAAGAAAACUGGAGGAAGAUAAGAUCCAAGAGUCCAAAUCAAAAAGAUUAAAACAAAAGUCGAUAGGUUGAGGUCAAGAUUAAUUUCAUGUUAGCAGGCAGGAAAAUAACGCUGAAGGAUUAAUGAUAGAGUUGUACUAUGAUCACCUUCAUGGGAGGAAAGAAAAAGGCAUCUUUUUUGUGAUCCCUUGAUCAGAAGCCGGAUACCAAUGGAAGCUGCAGUAACCAUCUUCGGCAAUGAAUCUCGGUGGUAACAUUUGAUUGCUUGGGCUUUGAUUUCAGCAGAUAGGUUCUCUUUAAUCCAAAAUCUAUCUGGAUUCUAUAAAUGUCUAGUACCUUUAAAUUGGAAACACGACUCUCAUCAAUAGUUCUCUGCAGUGGAUUUAGGAAUUUAUGCGUAUUAUGCUGGCACAAACUAAUGUCCUUCAAUUAGCUAUUAUAAAGCCAUUGCUGAUAUAGACCAACAAAAAUCGGUCUGGCAAAUCUUCUCUUUGUGCCUGUCCGUAACCUGUUAUUUACCAGCAGGUCUAAUGAUCGAUUCUCCUGUGUUACUUUACUGUGUAUUUUUGGAGCAAGGUUCUACACGGCUUUAGGAGAUUAGUCUAGUCGAAAGGUUGGAAUACUCUUAAGCGAAAAAAAAAAGAUCUUCUCUUUGUGAUUUAUUAAUACAUUGUUCACGGUAAGAAAUCUUGUUGACGUCCUACAUGAUGAAAUUCUUGAACUAUCCUCAUCCUAUAUUCUGAAAACCAACCAAUUAUUCCCGGCUUCCAGCAUUGGUAGCAAAGAAGAUUAGAUUGCCUCUGAGAUGUUCCUCAUUCUCCUUCUCAAUGGCAUCUCUGUUUAUGCGUUACUGUCAACAGAAUUAAUGCACUGAAAAUUUCCUCCCCGGUAGACAACAUGGCCAGGCCUUUCCGUCGAGCUCCAACUUCCAAAAUGUAGAAUGCGCCAAUAACCACGAUUAUGGCCCUUUCAAAAAGAAAGUCCAGGUAAAUACUUCCCCGAAGGACUAAUAUAUCGUCAGAAAAUUCAGGCAUUAGAAUUCAUUAAUCACGUAAAAAUUUCUGGCCAAUUUAGUCAUUUCAUUUUAGAAUACAACUCAUCAUGAGAUAUAAAUGUGUGAUAUUAACAUAUAAAUGUAAUUAAGAGUUAAUAAAAUAUCAGUCGACCUGUAUUCUGAUAUUUUAUUGCGCUCAAUGCUUGAUUAUAAUACGCAAUUUUUUCUCAAAAAAAUUUUUGUGGCAUCUUUCAAAAUAUGCAAAGUAUCAAAUGGUUUGAGUUUCUAGGAUUAUAUAUUGCUUUGAAGCAAAAUUAGGGGAAUAAAAGAAAGGAAAAUAGGGAGAGAAAGGAAUGAUUUCUUUUUUUUUUUGCUUUUUGCCAUAUUUUGACUUAACAAGGUUAGUUUAGGAAUUUCAGCAGAGAGAGCCUGCACACGCGCAAAAACUUGUGGCACGAGCGAGUCAAACCCCAGAGAGGGAGCAGUGCCGCAGCCUCUGGCAGGCUACCCAUCCCUUCGGCCAGCGAGAGCGAGUACCGCUCUCUCCGCACUCUUGACCUGGGCUCUCUCUAAGCCCAAGCGUUUUCAUUUCUCCAAAUUCGCCGAAACAAAAGAGACUUUCUACGAACAAACAGUGAUAAAAAAGAAGCCAAAAACCUCGUUUUACCUAUCCACUGGGGCGACCUGAGAUCGGACCGACAAAACCCUAGCUCAACCACUGAAGAAUCAUGUGGAGAAGACUAGUCUCUUUGCAGCUCAAAACUUUGUCUAUUCCUCGAUCGGUUCCUAAGCCCCAUCGAUUCACCGCCGCCGGUGCCGUCUCUUCAUCUCCGGAGUCAUUUCGGCCAUCCGUCACCCUCUUCUCUUGCCAGUUCUCCACUGAAACUGGUAUGCUUCCAUCCAAGCCCUAAUUUUUCAGUCGGAUCUUCUAUUCACCCUCUGAUUACUACCAGGCAUUUUCCUUCUACAUUUGUGCGCGUUCAUAAAGCCUUUGUUUGUGAUUGAAUGGAGAAAAGAGUGAAACUUGUGUUGAAUUUUGUUUGGUGUAGCAAAUGUGGCAACGAAAAAGACAGUUGAGGAUGUAAUGCCGAUUGCGACUGGUCAUGAGCGCGAAGAGCUUGAGGCUGAGCUUGAAGUGAGACUCUUUUUUACAAUUCCUUUUAUUUAUUAUUAUUUUUUUUUUGUAGAAAGUCAGUUAUUGUUGGCUUUAUUAUUUUAAAGGGACAUAUUUGAGGUUCUGAAAUUCUGCUGUUGAGUGUAAUUUAUUGAUAGGUGUCAUCUAUGGUUGAUAGUUGUUCUAUUUUUUGUGAUUAGGGAAAGGAUAUUCUGGCAAUCAACUAUCCCGUUGGUCCUUUUGGUACAAAGGUCAGUCUCAUGUUUUUGCUUUCAAGUAAUUUUUUCAGCUUAUCUCAUUGUUUUUGGUUAAGCUGUAGUUGCUUAUAUUGCUAUUGUUGUUAUUCAAGGAUUGAAAUGCUGGGAUUGGCUUCGAAUUAGCUAGUCUGUACAACACUUACUGGUGGCUCUGAAUUAACAAAAGAAUUAUUGUGGCAUGGUAUAUGUAGGAUGCCUUAUUGGUCUAGGUGAAUAUAAAAUAAAUUAUAACUUAUUCAUCUGUCAAAUACAUUUUUAAUUAUUGUUAGAAGUAAGACUCGUUUAAAUUCCUUGAACCAGUGGUUCCAUACCUGCUUAGCACUGUUUCCGAUGUUCAUUCGUAUUUUUGUUGUUUGUGUUAGCACAGCAUUGAUUAAAAAUGGCUUGACUUGAUUCCAUUAUAUUUAAGAACCAGUGAAUCAUCUUUAAAGAAAUUUACUUGCUGUAGAUGUGAGAUGACCUUGAAGUGAUUUUAAAUAAUUGAAUAUGUGCUUGGUAACUGUUCAAACAUGGCAAAACUGUGAAUAGUAGUGAUAUUGAUGCAGAUCUUGAUUUAUAUUCAGAACUAUGUAUUGGAGUUCUUUUACUUAGCUAUUGCUGUCUGUUCAUCAAUGUCAAAUGUGGUGGGUUUUCGGCUGAAGGGGUGUUCAUUUAAACUUUAACAAAAGGUAUGAAUGUAGUAAAUUUUGGUCUGCAAUCCUACAUUGCAUCCUUAUACAUUACAUUGUGGUCUGAUGCCAUGUCUCCCAUGAUUAGAAGCUCAUUGUCCUUGAUCUAUUCUGAGACCCUUGGAACUUUAUUGCAAUUGUCUUUAAGAGUUCCACAGCUUUCAAACUGCAAAUCUAGUGGAAUUGAAGUUGCUGCUUGGGUAAUAGAAAUUUCCUUAAUUCCAAGAGUAGCAUUGCAAUCAUGUGAUGGAAAUGAAGUUGCAUGGGUAAAUGUGACCAUCUAGCUUAUACCAAAUAGUUAGGAUAAUGACUUGUUAAUUUGGUUUAUGUAGUUUGCCGGAGUUACGUUCUACAUAUUUGCUUAUAAUCUUUGAUGAAGAUUAGGUACUGUUAUUGGGUUAAUGUGAGUGAGUGGACCUAAUCUACCCAGUUAACACUGAUUAUGAUUAGAGAAAUCUGUGUUUUAAUAACUUGUUCUUUCCUUUUCAUGUCAUAUGUAAUGAAUGAAUGAGAGGCCCUCACAAAAGCUGUCCCAAUUGAUGGGAUACGCAAGGAAGGUUGGGGUUAGGGGGACUAUGCAAGGAGACAGUUGUUCUGAGCAGUUAAGCCAGAAAGAGGGGAAGAAAGAAAGGGGCUAUCAUAAUUAUAUGCAUUUCAAGCUUGAUGAAGAGGGAAAGAAAGUUUUACUUAAUUUUACAUUGAAAUUUAUUAAGCCUAAGGAAAUGGAAGGGUAGGCUGAGGGACUUAGGAGCUUUCACUUGUCUUUCACAUUCAGUUAUCCUCAGUUUAGUUGAAGCAGCUUUCACUUGUCUUUCACAUUCAGUUAUCCUCAAUUUAGUUGAAGCGUAUUUGAUACUUAGUUUUGGGUUUUAGUUGAAAAUCCAUUAUCCAAUUCUGAAGUAUAAUCUUUAAUAGUGUUCAUUGGCUGUUCAAUUUAGAAUCUGUCUUUGAUGAAUUCAUUUGUGUAGCACUUGAUUGUGUUCUAUUUGUUUUGAUGCUUGGAACUGUCAAUAUUGAUGCAAUUUUUGUGCCUUGCUCGCUUGCAGGAAGCACCUGCAGUCAUUCAAUCUGUCUAUAACAAAAGAAUUGUUGGAUGCCCAGGAGGUGAAGGCGGUAAGUCCUUGUAACUUACCUCCUUUUUCAGUUUAUGAUGAACCAGUAAUAGUCGAUUCUCAAAAUGGAAAGUCACGGAAAAGGAAGAAUUUAAGUGAAUUUUAAUGCAGUUUCUCUAAGUUGUAAUGUUCACUUCUGCAUAAUUUUAUUGUCUUCUCCUUUAACAGAAGAUGAGCACGACGUUGUAUGGUUCUGGCUUGAGAAGGAUAAGCCGCAUGAGUGCCCAGUGUGCUCACAAUAUUUUGUGGUGAGUAGCAUGAUAAAUCUGGAAUUGAGAAUUUUAAUAUUGAUUAUAUUUUGAAGCAGAUACGUGUGAAGAUGUAUGCUGACAUGCAAAUUUGAGUGCUUCUUUUGUCCACUUAUUUGCAUUGAUAAAGACAGAGUAAAAGAAAUUAUUUGUUGUGGUUAGAAUUAGUCAACUUGAUGGGAUCAGUUUUGAUUUUUAUGGUUAAGGAAAUUAAGUAGCUUCUUGUUUCUCAAAUUUUCCAAGGUCAACUCUAAAGGAACGAUUGAGUAAUUUGCCCAUCCUUUUGUCUGAUACAUUUAUAUGACCAAUAUAAAAUUUUGUUGAUGGUAUGUCCAGGCCUUAGUUGCUAUGAUUAGCUUCAUCAUGUGAAGACCGACAUGUAAAUGUAAUGGAUGGGAUUACAAAUGGGAUUUUAUUGGCUCCACAAGGACAUGACUCCAUGGCUUAGUUAUUGUGGUUAAUUUGUUAAAAAUAUUUUUCUUGUACACAGUUAGAAGUAGUUGGUCACGGAGGAGAUCCUGAAGGGCAUUCUGAUGAUGAGCAUCACUAGUCGGAUUCUGCAAUGAGCCGGCAAAAGAGAUGAUGAGAGGAUCUAGCAAAUUCAGCAGGAUGUGAAAGCUUUGUGUUUUGUUCACUUCUGAAAAGUAUGUUCUUCUGAAGGUUGCUUUGGCAACAAUUGAGUCUGACAAAUUUUUCUUUAUACACUUUUUUGGUAUUUUAAGCAUGGGCUGGUCAUCCAUGGGAAUUACGGACUCUUUGACUUUUUUUUAGUGCAAGUCAAAUAAUCAAUGGCUACAAUUGGUUCAUUUGUAAUUGACAUUGGUACUUUAUGAGACGAUCCAUUGAAA